UCAAACCAAAGCUUUUUAUAAAAAGGAAGUAACACAUUCCUAAUCAAUACUCUGGUAAAGUGAUUGAUCCAUUGAUAGUCAGCAUCAUCAGAGUAAUCCAAGUCCCUGUUGGAGUCAGUCAGAGCAUUUCCAUAGAGAGCCACUUUGCAUCAGCAGCACCAUGCUCCAGUGCUCUGGGAGAGUUUAUAGUCCUGAGAGUUGAACACUGGAUGACUGACAGCUGUCCUUCAUGACAACAGAAGCCACAGAAAUCCUCCUCAUCAAAAACAUGACUUUGAUCUCCGUCCUCAUCUGGACUCUCCUCUGCUGCUGCUUCACAGAGUCCAGAGGUCAGGUCACAGUGACUCAGUCUGGAGCAGUGAGCUCUGCUGUGGGAGGCUCUGUCACCAUCACAUGUAGGACCAGUCAGAAUGUUUAUAACUCUAACCGCUUAGCCUGGUACCAACAGAGAGAUGGAGAAACUCCUAAACUGCUCAUAUACUCUGCCAGCACUCGAGCAUCAGGGAUUCCAGGUCGUUUUACAGGCAGUGGAUCAAACUCUGACUUCACUCUGACCAUCAGUGGAGUCCAGACUGAAGAUGCAGCAGUUUACUACUGUCAGAGUGGACACUACAUCAACAGUCAGUGGUUGUGGACUUUUGGUGGAGGAACCAGACUGGAUGUUGGACGUGAUGUCCGUCCCACCCUGACGGUGCUGCCCCCCUCCAGUGAGGAGCUGCAGCAGGGGAAGGCCACGCUCAUGUGUCUGGCCAACAAGGGCUUCCCCUCAGACUGGAGUCUGACCUGGAAGGUGGACGGCAGCAGCAGCAGCAGCAGCAGCAGCUGGGAGGAGAGCAGGAGCCCUGGGGUGCUGGAGAAGGAUGGAGUGGUGCACCUGUGAAGAAUGCAUUACGAUGCCCACAGAGGAGCAGAAUGUUUGCUGCAAAUAAGUAAAUGCAGUCCAGAAUAGAUGUGGAGAGCUGCCCAAAGAGCCGAGGUGCAUGACCCUUCAUCCAGGCCUUGAACCUGUGUGCCUGAACCCCUACUCCCUUCAGAAUGCACUGAAUGUAUACCAGGCAGACCAUGGGCCUCUGGACAUACAGGAAAGAGCUGCAUAAGUUAGACAAUAAAAUAUAUUUUAUUGACAUUUAACAAAUUUAUGCUUUCAUUAGUGAUCUUGAUUAAUGUACUCCACUGGAAAA